rnacentral:misc_RNA from 1 species
UUGGGUGCUGCCGCGAAGGUGCCUCCGCCGCUGCUGCAAUCGGCUCCUCGGUGCGACCUGCUGCUCCUCUGCCCGAGUGCGGCUAGCUCGCCGGCGGCCCGGCUUGUUGCUUUUCUACUUGAGCGCGGCAGGCGACUGGUGCUCCCUCAGUCCGGCAACCUCCCGGCUCCCUGCCUGCGCACUGCCGACCUCCACGGAUCCUUCGCGGGCCUGCGCCGGCGCGUCGUUCGCUCCUCGCCGGCGACUCGGCUCCAGCCUCCACUCCACGACCGCCGGCGGCGGCUACACGUCCGGCUUCCACGGUUCCACACCGUCAGUCCAUCACAGUGCCGCGCCGGCCUCCCCUCCCUGGUCAAGGCCGCCACCGCACCUCCAGCCACGCACUGA